UAGGGAAUCUUCCGCAAUGGGCGAAAGCCUGACGGAGCAACGCCGCGUGAGUGAUGAAGGUCUUCGGAUCGUAAAACUCUGUUAUUAGGGAAGAACAAAUGUGUAAGUAAGUAUGCACGUCUUGACGGUACCUAAUCAGAAAGCCACGGCUAACUACGUGCCAGCAGCCGCGGUAAUACGUAGGUGGCAAGCGUUAUCCGGAAUUAUUGGGCGUAAAGCGCGCGUAGGCGGUUUUUUAAGUCUGAUGUGAAAGCCCACGGCUCAACCGUGGAGGGUCAUUGGAAACUGGAAAACUUGAGUGCAGAAGAGGAAAGUGGAAUUCCAUGUGUAGCGGUGAAAUGCGCAGAGAUAUGGAGGAACACCAGUGGCGAAGGCGACUUUCUGGUCUGUAACUGACGCUGAUGUGCGAAAGCGUGGGGAUCAAACAGG
rnacentral:rRNA from 1 species